rnacentral:rRNA from 1 species
UACGGAGGGUGCAAGCGUUAUCCGGAUUCACUGGGUUUAAAGGGUGCGUAGGUGGGAAUGUAAGUCAGUGGUGAAAUCUCCGUGCUUAACACGGAAACUGCCAUUGAUACUAUGUUUCUUGAAUUUUCUGGAGGUUAGCGGAAUAUGUCAUGUAGCGGUGAAAUGCUUAGAUAUGACAUAGAACACCAAUUGCGAAGGCAGCUAACUACAGGGAUAUUGACACUGAGGCACGAAAGCGUGGGAGCAAACAGG